AGAGUUUGAUCAUGGCUCAGAAUCAACGCUGGCGGCGUGCCUAACACAUGCAAGUCGAACGAGAAAGGGUAGCAAUACCUGAGUAAAGUGGCGCACGGGUGAGUAACACGUGACUAACCUACCCUGGAGUGGGGGAUAACUGAGGGAAACCUUAGCUAAUACCGCAUAACACCUACGGGUCAAAGGAGCAAUUCGCUUCAGGAGGGGGUCGCGGCCGAUUAGUUAGUUGGCGGGGUAAUGGCCCACCAAGACAGUGAUCGGUAUCCGGCCUGAGAGGGCGCACGGACACACUGGAACUGAAACACGGUCCAGACUCCUACGGGAGGCAGCAGUGGGGAAUUUUGCGCAAUGGGGGAAACCCUGACGCAGCAACGCCGCGUGGAGGAUGAAGUACUUCGGUACGUAAACUCCUUUCGAUCGGGACGAUUAUGACGGUACCGGAGGAAGAAGCCCCGGCUAACUUCGUGCCAGCAGCCGCGGUAAUACGAGGGGGGCAAGCGUUGUUCGGAAUUAUUGGGCGUAAAGGGUGCGUAGGCGGUUUUGUAAGUCUUGUGUGAAAUCUUCAGGCUCAACUUGAAGACUGCACGAGAAACUGCAGGGCUUGAGUGUGGGAGAGGUGAGUGGAAUUCCUGGUGUAGCGGUGAAAUGCGUAGAUAUCAGGAGGAACACCUGUGGCGAAAGCGGCUCACUGGACCACAACUGACGCUGAUGCACGAAAGCUAGGGGAGCAAACAGGAUUAGAUACCCUAGUAGUCC
rnacentral:rRNA from 1 species